rfam:Cavia porcellus supercont2_36 genomic scaffold, whole genome shotgun sequence.
GGGGAUUUAGCUUAGCGGCAUAAGCGCCUGCCUUGCAAGCAGACAGUCGUGGGUUCGAUCCCCAGUAUCGAUA